AGCUUUGCGCAGUGGCAGUAUCAUAGCCAAUGAGGUCCAACCGAGGCGUGAUUAUUGCUAAUUGUGCUGAAGCUGAUGAAAGCAGAGGAGCUGUGUUCCCAUUAGGGAAGAGCUGCUGGCUUAUUUUUCGUCUUUCGGCUUUGCA
ensembl:snRNA U4 U4 spliceosomal RNA